GAGCAAGGCACGCGGGCUAGUGAGUGGAGGUACUGGCAAGGGCUGGGGCUGGGGAAGGAAUGCAUGGCAGCUGUGCUGCUGCACACAUGACUUAUGACUUAGCUACUCAGAAUUCCCUAUCUGGCCAGGCCUGUGGCUUAAGAAUUCUGGAGAUUGUGCCCAAAGCACGAAUAUUUUCAGGUUCUGCAGAUGCAAAGAAUAGCACAAGUUGGUGGCAUGACAUUGAACCUGUCUAUUUCUCAAAGAACGACUUGGACUUUAUUCACUGCGUUCUUUACAUGAACUCAAGCAUAGCCCUCUUUAUUUUAAAACUGCAGCUGUGCUACUGCCUUUGGAAGAACAGGAACAUCAAACCAGAAUAGGUAUCAUGCAUGUAUUUGUAUUUAAAGUACAGAGGGGCUUUUUUAGAAAUGCAAAUAGCAUCUCCGAGACUGUUACAAGUAACAUUGGAACAGGCAGGGAGAACCAGACAGACCACUGAAGUUGAAACUUUGCCAAAGACGAUUUCCCGGUUGAUUAUGACGGCUAUACCUCUGCUCAGAAAUGAGUGGGGGGAUUUGAUCCAUCGCUUAAUCACCCAGACUUGGAAACAAGGGCAUGCUUUACACUUUUAUUCAAUCAAAUGUUUCGUACCUGUAGUGAUAGCGCUUUCUCUCUGGUGUAUCUUUGAGAACUGCUCUUUUUAUUCUAAUAAAAUCUAUUUUUAAUCAAA